GACUGCGAUCUGCCAGUCUAUUUCCAUGUGUGACCCCGCCCCCAUGAAAUUAAUACGGCACCAUGCCGGGAGGUUGUCGUUUCAAUGAACGUUGGCUGGAAGAUGAAAAAUACAAAUUAUGGAUUAAACGGUCUGCAAAAAAGAUGUGCAGCUUUUCACAAUGGGCGAGUCUGCGCUCUCGAGUCACAUGAAGGGUAAGUCAUAGUGACUGAGAGUACGGUGUGAUAAUGUAAUGUUAGUAUUGCAAUGUUUCCCGCAGCACUAUCUUGGCGAGGCGGCCGCCUCGCCAAACUCACGCUACCGCCUCGCUAACGUUCCAAAAAA